rnacentral:rRNA from 1 species
UACGAAGGGGGCUAGCGUUGCUCGGAAUUAUUGGGCGUAAAGAGCUUGUAGGCGGUUUGUCGCGUCUGCUGUGAAAAUCCGGGGCUCAACCCCGGACUUGCAGUGGGUACGGGCAGACUAGAGUGUGGUAGGGGAGACUGGAAUUCCUGGUGUAGCGGUGAAAUGCGCAGAUAUCAGGAGGAACACCUAUGGCGAAGGCAGCUCGCUGGGACGGUACUGACGCUGAGGCGCGAAAGCGUGGGGAGCGAACAGG